rnacentral:rRNA from 1 species
AACGAACGCUGGCGGCACGUUUUAAGCAUGCAAGUCGAAUGGCAGCAGGGGCAACUCUGUGAGAAUGGCGAACGGGUGAGUAACACGUAGGUGAUCGGCCGUGAGGAGGGGGAUAGCCUGUGGAAACACAGGGUAAUACCGAAUGAACUGACGAGACUUUGGUUUUGUUAGUAAAGGUGCUACGGCACCGCCUUGAGAGGAGCCGGCGGCUGAUUAGCUAGUGGGUGGGGUAAGAGCUUACCAAGGCGAAGAUCAGUAGCCGGCCUGAGAGGGUGUACGGCCACACUGGAACUGAGACACGGUCCAGACUCCUACGGGAGGCAGCAGCUAAGAAUCUUCCGCAAUGGGCGAAAGCCUGACGGAGCGAUGCCGCGUGAUCGAUGAAGGUCGAGAGAUUGUAAAGAUCUUUUCUACAUGAGGAAUAAGUCUGGGAGGGAAUGCCCGGAUGAUGACGUUAGUGUAGGAAUAAGCCCCGGCUAAUUACGUGCCAGCCGCCGCGGUAA